AAGGAUUUCAUUUUUGUUGCGAUCCAAUCAUUAGGAAUGGUGAAGAAAUACUGAAUCCAUCACUACUUCGAUAACACAAGGGCCAUGUGAUUGUUUGGUGCUGCCCACAUCAUGGAAAAAGCAGAUUCCAAAAUGUCUUAAGAGAAUGUGAGAAAUAAUACAAGGUUCAAGUCCCACUCAGAGGCACCCGAGGAAAAAUGUCUGGUGAACUCCGUAUGAGAACGCAGAUCUUACAAACCGUAUGGGGCCCAGUUCUAUUCUUAUGCACGUGGAGUCACCAGGGAUUGGAAUCUACUGAGUAGCAACUGAUGUGUGAUUUUGCUAAGUGUGACUCUGAUGAAGUAUCAAACAAAAGAAGAUAGACCUCACUGGUCAUUAUUGUUACUUAUUUUGUGUUUGUUAUUUAUUGAAGGCCACGUAUUUUUCACACAUUGUCACAUUCAUCCUCAAUAAUAAUACUCCUCAACAAAAAGUAGUUAUCAUUGAGGAUGAAUGAGACAAUGUGUGAAACAUGAAUGACACACAAUGCAAGAAACAGUAAAUACACCUGAGGAUUACUGCUUCGAUUGUACGGAUGAGGGCAAUGGGUUUCAUAUCAGUUUAGAUAAAUUGUUUGAGACUGCACUGCUGAAAGGAAAUAAUUAGAUGGUAAAGAGUUUGAACACCCCUUUCCUGUUCCUUCAAAGCUGGUGUUGUUCCUUGCUGCACUGUGGUGCCUCUACUCCCACAUAAAAGGGAAGAACACAACAAGAGUGCUGUGGAAGCACAUAAAGAAGACUGAGUUGUGUUCUCCUCUGGGAGGCGGGAAGAACAACCAGGGCAAGAGGAAUUGGAGGAAGAGUGGAAACAGCUCCCUUUUCCUCUCGGAAUGUUCUGCAGCUAUGGUCUUGAUGAAAGAGAUAAAGAGACUCUGUGACACAUUAGGUGAUUUUUCAAUGCCCCAAGAGUCCAUUAAUCAACAGUUAUUUGAAAAAAAACCCAAUAGUCGAUUCUUUAAUAAUUUGAUAAAAGCAAUAAAGUGUAAAAAAUAAUGUAUGUGCUUGAAAUGUUAUUAUUUUUAUUUGCUAUGGUUUCUCCACUGAUGAUGUUUCAACACCUUUGCUACAUAUUCUUCUUCUUCUUUUUUUUUUCAUAUUCUUCUUUAAAUAAUGUAUUAGAACUUCCAGUACUCUAAGCUCUCAGUUCUACUGUGAAAUUGUUUAUUAUGAAGACUAUGUUUACUCUGAUUAAAAAAACCCUUUAAUUGUC